AAUCCUUUAACGAGGAUCAAUUGGAGGGCAAGUCUGGUGCCAGCAGCCGCGGUAAUUCCAGCUCCAAUAGCGUAUAUUAAAGUUGUUGCGGUUAAAAAGCUCGUAGUUGGAUCUUCGGCCGAGGGAUGCGGUCCCCCGUUGGGCGGUUACUGCUUUUCCUGGCCUAACUUACCGGUUCUUCGUUUUGUGCUCUUAAUUGAGUGCCUAACGUGACUGGAACGUUUACUUUGAAAAAAUUAGAGUGCUCAAAGCAGGCAUAUUGCCUGAAUAGUGGUGCAUGGAAUAAUGGAAUAAGAUCCUGGUUUUGUUUUAUUGGUUCGAAGCGAUGAUAAUGAUUGAAGGGGACAGACGGGGGCAUUCGUAUUGCGACGUUAGAGGUGAAAUUCUUGGAUCGUCGCAAGACGGACUACUGCGAAAGCAUUUGCCAAGAAUGUUUUCAUCAAUCAAGAACGAAAGUCUGAGGUUCGAAGGCGAUCAGAUACCGCCCUAGUUCAGACCGUAAACGAUGCCAACUUGCGAUCCACAGGCGUUAUAUAACGACCUUGUGGGAAGCAUCCGGGAAACCAAAGUUUUUGGGUUCCGGGGGAAGUAUGGUUGCAAAUCUGAAACUUAAAGGAAUUGACGGAAGGGCACCACCAGGAGUGGAGCCUGCGGCUUAAUUUGACCCAACACGGGGAAACUCACCCGGCCCGGACACCGUAAGGAUUGACAGAUUGAUUGCUCUUUCUUGAUUUGGUGGGUGGUGGUGCAUGGCCGUUCUUAAUUGGUGGAGCGAUUUGUCUGGUUAAUUCCGAUAACGAACGAGACUCUAGCCUGCUAAAUAGGCAGCGGACUUAUGUCCGCUGAACUUCUUAGAGGGACAAGCAGCUUCUAGCUGCACGAGAUUGAGCAAUAACAGGUCUGUGAUGCCCUUAGAUGUCCGGGGCUGCACGCGCGCUACACUGAAGGAUCCAACAUGCUUCUCUACCUUACCCGGAAGGGUUAGGUAACCCGUUGAAACUCCUUCGUGAUAGGAAUAGGGAAUUGCAAUUAUUUCCCUUGAACGAGGAAUUCCUAGUAAGUGCGGGUCAUCAACUCGCGCUGAUUACGUCCCUGCCCUUUGUACACACCGCCCGUCGCUACUACCGAUUGGAGAUUGACGAGAAGUGUCGGGAACGGUCUCUGGACUGCUUUCAGUAGCCCAGAGUACUGUGAACCUCAU
rnacentral:rRNA from 1 species